GGGGGAAAUUUUAGCUUCGACACCCGCCUUGCUCCUUCCUCUUCCGGUUACGGCGACAGCAGCUUCAAAAUGGUGCAACGCCUGAAAUACCGUCGUAGGUUGUCCUACAACACCGCUUCCAACAAAACCAGACUUUCCCGGACACCUGGUAACCGUAUUGUGUACCUGUACACCAAGAAAGUU